GGGGCUGAUUUUUAGCUCGACAGUGGACCUUAACAAUCUACAGUGCAAGCCGGCUAUUCACACCGUUACCGUGAUAAACUAACAGAUGCAAAAACAUCUUUGAGCGAUGCUAUCGACCGCGUUUUCGCGUCUCGAAAGCUAGCACCUGUUUUAGCUUAGUUGCUAAGACGACUCUAUAGGAACAUGUCAGAUAUACCUUAAGAGUCUUAUAUUCAUCUGACUGCUAGUAUUGGUGCCAAUUGAGCCAUUGCUUCAAGAUUUUCAAUUUGCUAGUAAAAGUAUUUUGUUUGUUUAGCCAUUUUUACUAUAAGAACCCUAAACAGAAUAAGCUUGUAGAAUUGUAGUGUCGUUAACCAUUGGACGCGGGAGCAUUACCCGCCAGCUCCACCA
rnacentral:tmRNA from 1 species